GAUGAACGCUCGCUACAGGCUUAACACAUGCAAGUCGCGGGGCAGCAUGGGGGUUGCUUGCCAUCCCCGAUGGCGACCGGCGCACGGGUGAGUAACGCGUAUCCAACCUGCCCUUCACCACGGGAUAACCCGGCGAAAGUCGGACUAAUACCGUAUGUUGUCCAUUGACGGCAUCCGAUUUGGACGAAAGGCUUGGCGGUGAGGGAUGGGGAUGCGUCCGAUUAGCCAGACGGCGGGGUAACGGCCCACCGUGGCUACGAUCGGUAGGGGUUCUGAGAGGAAGGUCCCCCACACUGGAACUGAGACACGGUCCAGACUCCUACGGGAGGCAGCAGUGAGGAAGAUUGGUCAAUGGGCGUAAGCCUGAACCAGCCAAGUAGCGUGCAGGAUGACGGCCCUAUGGGUUGUAAACUGCUUUUAUGCGGGGAUAAAGUGGCCCACGUGUGGGCUUUUGCAGGUACCGCAUGAAUGAGGACCGGCUAAUUCCGUG
rnacentral:rRNA from 1 species